rnacentral:rRNA from 1 species
GAAACGACUGCUAAGACUGGCAUAGGAAAAGUAAAGGCAUCUUUGCUUUUUUAAAAGAUCUUCUUUGAAGGUAUGCUUAAGGAGGGGCUUGCGACACAUUAGUUAGUUGGCAGGGUAAAGGCCUACCAAGACUAUGAUGUGUAGCUGGACUGAGAGGUUGAACAGCCACAUUGGGACUGAGACACGGCCCAAACUCCUACGGGAGGCAGCAGUAGGGAAUUUUCGGCAAUGGAGGAAACUCUGACCGAGCAACGCCGCGUGAACGAUGAAGUACCUCGGUAUGUAAAGUUCUUUUAUUAAGGAAGAAAAAAGGGUGGAAAAACUCCCUUGACGGUACUUAAUGAAUAAGCCCCGGCUAAUUAUGUGCCAGCAGCCGCGGUAAUACAUAAGGGGCGAGCGUUAUCCGGAAUUAUUGGGCGUAAAGGGUGCGUAGGCGGUUUAAUAAGUCUAUAGUUUAAUUUCAGUGCUUAACGCUGUUGUGCUAUAGAAACUGUUUUACUAGAGUGAGAUAGAGGCAAGCGGAAUUCCAUGUGUAGCGGUAAAAUGCGUAAAUAUAUGGAGGAACACCAGAGGCGUAGGCGGCUUGCUGGGUCUUUACUGACGCUGAGGCACGAAAGCGUGGGGAGCAAACAGGAUUAGAUACCCUGGUAGUCCACGCCGUAAACGAUGAGUACUAAGUGUCGGGUAAAACUGGUACUGAAGUUAACACAUUAAGUACUCCGCCUGAGUAGUACGUACGCAAGUAUGAAACUUAAAGGAAUUGACGGGACUCCGCACAAGCGGUGGAUCAUGUUGUUUAAUACGAAGAUACACGAAAAACCUUACCAGGUCUUGACAUUUUCUUGCGAAAUUAUAGAAAUAUAAUGGAGGUUAUCAGGAAAACAGGUGGUGCAUGGUUGUCGUCAGCUCGUGUCGUGAGAUGUUAGGUUAAGUCCUAAAACGAGCGCAACCCUUGUCGUUAAUUGCCAGCAUGUAAUGAUGGGGACUUUAACGAGACUGCCAAUGAAAAAUUGGAGGAAGGUGGGGAUUACGUCAAAUCAUCAUGCCCCUUAUGAUCUGGGCUACAAACGUGAUACAAUGGUUGAUACAAAGAGUAGCUGAAACGCGAGUUCUUAGCCAAUCUCAAAAAAUCAAUCUCAGUUCGGAUUGAAGUCUGCAACUCGACUUCAUGAAGUUGGAAUCGCUAGUAAUCGCGAAUCAGCAUGUCGCGGUGAAUACGUUCUCGGGGUUUGUACACACCGCCCGUCAAA